rnacentral:lncRNA from 1 species
AUGUGCAAGAAUCUGCGAGAAGGUUUUUAAAAUCUCUUUCAUUUCUCUCUCAUCAUCGUUUCUGAUUUCAGCCUCUCUUCUCUCUCGAAACCUAGGGCUACGACAACGAUGCAGCCAUCAAACUCUAUGAUUCCAUCGCCCAUGGCUCAGCCUCCCCAGUACCAACCCCAGCAGUGGAUGCCACAGCAGACGCAGCAGGCGCAGUACCAGGUUCCUCCACCGCAACAGCCAGCGGCGGCGGCGGCUGGGUACUACUAUCAGCAACCACCACUGGCUGCGCCGACGCAACAGCCAGAGCAGUACGGCGUCGGGCCUGUGGCUCAGGCUCCAGCCGACGACGGGAUCCGGAGCCUGUGGAUUGGAGAUCUUCAAUACUGGAUGGAUGAGCAGUACAUCUACAGUUGUUUUGCUUUGACUGGCGAGGUAUAUUUACGUGGAGAUGUAUACCGACUUACUAAGACCUAGACCCCUUCACCCCGACCAUAGUUAAACAUACAUACAUAUUAAUUAUUAGUGCUUAUUUAAUGGAUUUUUCUUACUUUUAUCUGUUUUUUUUAUUUCGUAAUAGAUAUCUUCAACUCCGAUUUCUGUACUUGCAGUCUUCUGCUAUAACUGUUGCACAUGCUUUGUCGUAAUUUGCUUUUCAUUUUUAAAUAUCAGAUAAUAGAAGAAGCGGAGUAUGUUAUUGAUGGAAUUCAAUUUUCAGUACAUCAAAAAGUAGUCUGUUUGCAUAUGAGAAAUUAACUAUCUAUGACAUGCUUAUGCCUUCUUCACCUGACUCACCAAGUUCAUCUCUUCUAUCCGCUCUUGCACACUUUGACUGACAAUCAUUACCUUUGUUUUACAGUCUUCUAUGGAGAGUCUAAAGGAUUUUACUUGUAUUAGAAAAUAUGUAAAUAAACGAAAUUUCCAGAUGAUUUAUUGUAACUUUGUUGGUCAUGUCUUCAUUUGGAUGCUUGAUAUUUCAUGCUCUUGAGAGUGACAAGGAAGACGGUUAUGGAUGCUGUUUAUUCUGAAAGAAGAGCUUUUCAAUUCUUGCAAUAUGAUUAGAUCCUGUUUUAUGGAGGGUUGUAAUUUCGCUUUUUUUUUUCAAGUGUUUCUGUUUCCAUUUUAAUCAGUAACUGUUUAAAUUAUGGUCUUAUUCUUUAUUUGGUGAGUUCUUUGUAUUCUUGAGUCGCCCAGUAGCUAGUAGUGUGCUGUUUUAUAUCUGGCAAAACUUAUAAGUCAUUUAAAAAUGGUCAAAUUUCAUUAUUAACCAUACAUUCCAAGAGACCCAGAAGUACGAUCAACUUAUACACCAUUCAUUUCUAUCUAUUUAUAAAUUAAACCUUUUAUAAAUUCUUUCCAAAGGGAGGCUUAAAUUGAAAAUGAUCUCUUUCAAGGCAACACUGCUUGUGUCUUGUGAGCCAAUUGCAUUGGUGAAGACUUUCUUCAAUUUUUUGGUGUAUGCUACGAGUGCACUAUGCACCAUGCACUACUGCAGUGACAACAUCCCCCCAACCCACCUUUUUUCUUAGGAGAAAGGGAACCAUGUGUGUUGCUAGAAUUCCCAACUUAUAAAGGGAAUUUGAGUGGUGGUGUUGAUCGAACUGCUCUUGUUUUACUGUGGUCCCCCCUUAGAUCUUAUUAUUGAGUUUUUGUUCAUGGUUUUGGAGCCUAAUUUGAAAUACAUUUCUUGCAGGUGGUGUCUGCUAAAGUCAUCCGCAACAAGCAAACUGGCCAAUCAGAAGGUUAUGGCUUUAUUGAGUUUGUCAGUCAUGCUGCCGCAGAAAGAAAUCUGCUGACAUAUAAUGGCACUCAGAUGCCAAACACUGAGCAAACAUUCAGGUUGAACUGGGCAUCUAUGGGAGCUGGUGAAAAGCAUGAUGAUACUCCUGAAUACACAGUUUUUGUUGGAGACUUGGCAGCUGAUGUAACUGACUACAUGCUCCAAGAAACUUUUAGGGCUAACUACUCCUCAGUCAAGGGUGCGAAGGUUGUAACAGAUAAAAUAACUGGACGCACAAAGGGCUAUGGAUUUGUGAGGUUUGGUGAUGAAAGCGAACAACUACGAGCCAUGGCUGAGAUGAAUGGAAGGUAUUGUUCAACCAGGCCCAUGCGAAUUGGCCCAGCUGCUAGCAAACAAAAAGUGGGUGUUCAGGCUAAAGGUAUGCAUUACCCUUCAUCCUGUGGUAUGUUUGUUAGCUAAUUAGAUGGCCAUUGGAGCAUCAUACUGCCUUAAACAUGCUGAAUUUGGUCUUUAUUUUUUUGUAUGAUGUGAUCUGAUUCCUGAAUCUGGCAGCUUAAAUGCAUUGGUGGAUUUUUGUUUUAGAGAUAUUUUCAAGAGUUAAUAACAGAACGAUGCUGUUAAGUUUGCUUCCUUUCAGUUAUGCUCUUGAAUUCUUAAAGAUUCCACAGCUUACGACGCCAUUUCCUUCAAGUACUUAAAAAGCUUUCAGCUUUGAAACUUAAAACUUGCAUAAUCUCAUAAAACUCCGGUUGUCUCAAAGCAGGAUGUCAGGAGGCUCUAUCAUAUAGGGGCCUGGAGCUAAUUUCGGCUGAAAUGAUAACCCUUUUAGUGCCAGGUUUUGUCUAGGUCAGUGUUAAUUUAAUGUUUCUUACUUUUGGCUCCCCGUGGCAAUAAUUGUGCUACUAUUUUCAGUAUUUUUUUUCCUCAGCCAGUUCCUUUGCUUUCUCAGCUUUCAGUCAAAAUACAUUUAGUUCCAGCCAUUUCUUUCAGUUUCGUAUUUAAAAUUCCGCCACUAGAAUUACUUAAUAUCUCCCUGCACUACUUUCAUUCUGCCAUUAACAUUUUAAUUAAAAUUGCUUUAUUCCCUUCUCUUAUUAUUUUCAUACACUUACCAUUGAAUUUACCCUUGUGAAAGAAAGCUCACCAUGGACAGUGUGCAAUGAUCAAAGGUUAGUUGUAAGUUGAAACUGCUUAAAGCAUGCAGGUCUCAGUUGUUUAUGUUAUGUAACCAAUCUAUAAUGUGUUCUUCAGGUUGUUUUUGCUGGUUCAUUUUCAUUAUCUUUUGUAAUGUCACAUCUUGUUCUUUUUACUUCAUCUUUCAUCAUUAGGAUCAACAGUGGUUUGUUUGUCUACUUCAUAUCAGCUUCAUUGGUACAGAAAUAUGGGUUUGCUCUAUCUUGUGUAUGAGGAGCAAAAAUAGUGGGAUAUUGAUAUAUGUUUUUGUAUUUUGUACGAUGUUAUUGAAACUGGCGAGAAAGUGCCUCUAUCAGCAAGAAGUUAGCUUCUUCACCAUGUCAGAUGCGUAUGUAUGUAUGUGUAUCCAAACACUAGAGAGCAUUGUUCGUUGUCUUUUACUCGUGGCGUUUCUCUACAAAAGAAUCCUAUUAUUAUUAUUAAAAUCCUAUUGAUCUAGCAGUGCCAUAACUUGGGAUCAUAACACCAAACAUAGGAAAUAUAAACACAACAUGAGAUGGAGGCCAUGGAUUUGCAGUACAUUAUUAAAAUCCUUUUGAAAGUUGCACUACCUAGCAGACGUAGCCAAGAAAGAGGAUGAGGAUUUUAAUGUCUCUCUGUUACCCAAAUAUGGAUGCUCAUCCUUGUACAUUUUUUAUACUCAUUAAAUUGUUUGAACGGGCAGCUCCAAGUUUCAGUUUUGCCUAUAGUUAUUAUUUUUUUCACAAACGUGUAUGCCAUCUUCUCUUUGGUCUGAGCUGGCAGCAAGUGGAAUUUUUCUUUUCAAGGUCUUUUUGUCGUCUGCCAUCGUCGUCGCAAGAUUGGUUAGAACUUUGCUUGCUUAACAGUUUCUGAAUUGAGUUUUGUUGAUAUGAAACCAUGGUUUUGAUGAUAAACAUUUUUAUAUUGGCGUUUCCAAAAGUUUAUAUCAUGAUGUACUGCAUUGUUUCAAAAUCUGCUCUUCUUUUGUAUUAAACUAAUAUCAGCACCAGUCGGCUCCUCCUAUCCAACUCCCUUUUCAUUAGCAUUUCCCUCACCUACACUUAUUGUGUAUUUACAGCUUCAUACCAGACUUCUCAAGGAACACAGGGUGAGGAUGACCCUACUAAUACAACUGUGAGUAAUUUUAUUCACAAUAAUUUUGUAUGCUUUCUUUAUCUAAAUAAUUAAGUACUAAUUUAUUUCUUGAUUGCAGAUAUUUGUUGGUAAUUUGGACUCUAAUAUCACAGAUGAGCAUCUGAGGCAGAUUUUUGGCCAAUAUGGACAGUUACUUCAUGUAAAAAUACCAGCAGGAAAACGAUGUGGAUUUGUUCAAUUUGCUGACAGGUAACCUGGACAUUACCAUUGUUACCUUCUCAUCACACACUUAAUUUAAACACCAAGAAAUCAGUAUGAAGGAUUUAUCAUGUUCUCUGCAUCUGCUAUAACAGAAGCUGUGCUGAGGAAGCUUUACGAAUGUUAAAUGGAACCCAGUUGGGGGGACAAAGCAUUAGACUCUCAUGGGGCCGUAGUCCUUCAAACAAACAGGUACAAAUAAUCUCAUUUUUCGAUUUUCGAUUUUUCCUAUUUUUAGAACAGGUUUAUUAGUUCUCACUAAUGGUGAUUGUAACCAUAGUCAUCUAUUCAAAUUUUCGAGCUCAGGUUGAUCAAAUCCAGUCCAAUGCUGGAUAUUAUGGAUAUGCCCCUGGAUAUGAAACCUAUGGAUAUGCUCAAGCAGCUCAGGAUCCAAAUUUGUACUACGGAGGUUACCAAGGAUAUGGAAACUACCCACCGCCCCCUCAACAACCACCUCAGGUAGAUAUGCCUAUAGAUUUGAUGGGAAAACCCUUUUUACCUGAAAAUCAUUAUUAACAUACUUUGCAUGGGAGGGAGGACUAGUUGAACACUGUACAUUUACAUUUAUGCAAUGCUGAUUAUUGACUAGUUUUCCCAUUUCUUGAAUCUUAUCUGUCACAUUUUCCCUUGGUUGGUCGUUAUUUAAGGUUUGCCCACUGUUUUGAUUUAUAUUUACGUGGUAUUGGAUUUAUAUAGUAACAACAUAAUAAUCUGUUUUGCAGUAAUCCGUUGUGAACGUAGUAGUGAAGAACAGAGGAGCUGUCAGUUAUUCCACUGCAGUAUCGGCUGUUGCUUGGUCUUAGGAACUACUUAUUGGCUUUAUAGUUGUUUUUAAUUCAGUCUGUUGAACCGAAUUUUGGUCGGCUUGGCUCAUUUUGGUGGUGUUAAAAUUUACUUUUUGCUUGCUCUUAUUUUUCAUUUUCGUCCACACACUAUAAAGUUCGGAUCAUGCUUUUGUUGGCCGUUGAUCUCUAGUUGAGAGUUUCUGGCUGAGUUGCUUCGAGAAUUGCUGUAAAGUGGUACUUUAUUUACGUGUCCGACUUUUGAGGUUUAAAAUGGAAACUUAAUUUCAGUUUGGUGGUAAUUAGUGUGACUUUAUGAUUGAAUUUAUAAAUCAAUUGAAUUGAUAUGAAAUGAAAAUUGUCCCUUUCGUAUCCUUUUGUACAGUAUUGCUGGGGAUUUGGUGCAACCUCUGAAUAGCCGUUGCAACAAUCACUGAUUUGGACGAUGCUAAUCCAUGGACUAAUGUGUAGAAGAAUCAUCAGAGUUCCGAUAUAGGUUCAGUGUAAUAACAAAUCUGAAAGUUCAAGUAACUAGCGCUUCAUCAUAUGGUUUAAGGCUUAUCACAUUACGGAGAACUAUGCUUCUCAGUUAGGACAGUUUCAAUAGAUAAUCAUGAAACUGACUGACCAAGAACAUAUACUGCGGUACAGAGACGAGUGAAACCGCCGCUCUAUUUUCUUGGUCAUCCAGUUGGGGUAUCCGUUGCAUCAGUCUGGUUUCUUCAAGUUCAAGCAGUUAUCCGUUGCUUGGCUGAACAACUCCUGUACCUGCUUUAGUUCUUUUUCUGGCACAUCAGCAACAUAGUUUCAGCUAAGAUUGAGCACAACUUAAUAUAAAACUGAAUACUUUCUUUUUUUCCUUAUUUAGUUUUUACAGUAUGGUUUCCUUAAGUUUGAACCAAAUAAACAAAUAUAGUUCUGGUUCAGUUAGAUUCUGAAACAAACCAAGUAAUCAACAGAU